CAGAAGGCUGGAAACUGAAGUCAUUCUAUUUCUGACAGUUCAAUUAAAGUUCAAGCUUCAGCUAUGGCCUAGAAAAGUCUGCUAUCUCUUGUGGCAAGAACAAGUUCAGUUUCCAUGCCAACUCAGUCAUGGCCUUUU
ensembl:misc_RNA